ACAUCCGAGCAUGCAUAGGAAAGUGCAGCUAUGACGCUGCCUCGCUGCGGGGAGGAGGAGAGGGGGCACGGUUAGGAGAGCGGGCUCUUCGCUGCUAUUUCUGGCUUUUGUCAAAAGCAUCAAAACCAUCUUCCCUAAUACGUGGCACAGACCUCUAAUCCUGUGGGUGUGAGGUAGAACGAAAGACAGCGAGGGAGGAAGAAAGGAGGAACGCCAGACAGCAGCGCAGGAACAAACACUUUCUCACAUGUCUCCACGGGAAAAGAAAAAGCCCUGGUGCACGGUGCAACAGGAGGCAAAGAUGGCUGCUGCAAAGCACAUCCACUGCACACCUGGCAGCCUGAUUGGCUGACCUGCCAUUUUAAAGACGUCAGAGGCCUUUCCUACCGGACAACUCUAGCUGCUUGAACUCAUUCAUUUGACCAACAUUGUUUCUUGUUUGAGCUUGAAAUUACUUGGAGUUAAGUUUCUCAGGCUUUGUUUCUAGUUGUGCUAUGUUAGAGGGUCAAACCCAUGGUAUGUCUGGUUAUUGACAUGCUUCCAUCUUUUGUUUUUUUUUCUGUCAGAGCUUCUUAGUCUUUUGUUUUCUUUACAUGUGUGGGAUAUUUGAGUCAUCUGGAUCUAAACAUUGAUGUGCUUUGGCAACUUCUCAAAAAUUAAAAUUCGUUUUUCUUUUCUCAUCUCUUUUGCACAAGCAUACUAAUGGACUUCCAUACUUUUGAGAGAUUAUGAGUCAGUGUAUUAAUUUCUAGUUUUCAGAUUUUUUGAAAAUAUCCUCUCAUGGAAAGACUGGUUGUUGUCUUGACGUGAAUAAUUUCUUUUCCCCUAUAAAAUGAAGAACUUUAAGUAUUGCUGACUUGACCUUAAAUUUUUUUUUAAGAAAUUACUGUAAAUGUCCUUCCAAAUGUUAUUAAAGUUCUACUCCAAUUGUCUUUUGAUCUAUUGUAAAAGCGGUCUUUUAACUAUGAUUUUUAGCCAAAAGAAAAACCCAAAAAACUGUAAUUUUCUGGGACAUAGUUUCUGCAGAGCAGCAGUAAUUCAUUAUACAUUCUGCUCUAAGUUCUGGGCGGGAUAGUUGUGGAUGGAUCAACCCCGCUCCCCCUUACUACCCAGUUGCAACAAUUUGAAUAAAUAAAACUCAGAAAUAAAAUUUUGAGUUUAAUUUAUCAGAAAAUUGCCACAAGAACAUGAACUUAAACCACUAAAUGCUCAUAAAGUUGUAAAAACUUGCACUUAUAGCAUCCCUUGCAUUUUGUUUUUUCUACUCUUCAUUUCAAUGCUUUCACUGAGCCCCAUAAAAACUGCCCCGUGUUUGUCACGCUCCACUUCUGUGUUUAAGAAUAUCACUGUAAGUGGGUAAUGACAUGAUAUAAUAUGUCAUGUGUUGUUGCUCACCUAAACUUGUUUUCAUCUAACUUUGAAAAUGCGGUAAGCACUGCCGACUAUUUUAGGUCUUGAUAUUUAAAACCUCAGAAACGAAAGAAGGUGCACUUUCUUUUUCACAUGACUGCACCUGAAAAUAUCUCCCCCUGCACCUGCUGAAUAGACAUGUUUAAUAACUGGGUCAAAACCAGGGAGGGUGUCGCACUUCUUUCUGCUAAGCCUCAACUAUUCUUGCCACAGACUGCGAGUGGGCCUUUGACUCAAGUCAGGAUCGGGAAUUGGAAAAAAAAGGAGAAUACAUACUGAGUGGACAUGGUCUGCACAUGACAGCCUAUUUGUGUUUUUCUGAACCGCAGAGAUGAGGACAUCACAUAUAAAUGUAUAUAUAUAUAUACUGGAUGGCAAAGUCUGACAUUUCAUUUAACUUACUAAAAUAAACAGCAAAAAAUGAGCAGCAGACUGUUUCUAGCUCUCAAUUUUAAAAGAUAUACAGACCUUUUAGGAUGCUUUACAUGGAACCCUAACCUCAAUGUCAAGAAAGAAAGAAUUGCGUUUGGUAUUUUAGCCAAACACAGCAGUAGGGUGUCUGACUUGGAGCAUUUCAGUCCCCUCUACACUGUUUUGAAAGGGCUAUCUUUCUUAAACAAACAGCUCUGUGGAGUUUCAUCCUGCUUGUGCCGGUCCUUAAGUCAGCUACACCUGCCAAUCAGUUAUCAGUGACAGCCAGUGGCCCAGGGAACACAACUACCUUUGUGCUUGCACUUUGCAUGCCAAACUCUCAGAGGACUUAACUGAAGACAGACGGGAAGUGGGGGAUGAAUGCCUGAGCAGGAAAUGACCACAUAUAGAUUUAGGAAUCCAAAAAGUAAGUGAAAUUCAGUGAGAGCUGGGGAGCAGGGCACUGAAAAAUAGGGGAUAUUUAUGAAAGCAUUUGUCAGCACAGCGGUCAGGCUGCAAUGUUAUUUUCUCAUACUUGUUUAAACCUGCUUUGUUGUGUUUAGACUGAAAACUAAAUAAAUCUACCUUUAACCGCCUCCCUGUUAUUUCUGAAAACAGUCCUCGGUAGAUCUGAAGGUAUUUCCCAAAGAUAAAAACCUUAACGGGGUAUUCCUCUGUUCUGACUUUUCCAAGGAUCAAAGUGAAUACAACAGUAUUCAAAAAAAAAGAAAAAUCUUUGAAACCUUUCAUCUACCUUUCAGAUAUUUUUUCUUGUCAUUCUGUGACUCCAUUUUACAAGAGAUAAUUGUGUUUGAUCUCCAGCUCGUGUAUACACGCAGAACGACAGGCCUGUAGUUCACCAACUCAACAAGCAUAAUAUUGUUUUCCAAUGUAAUUAAAAGAGACACGGGAGAGGAAAAAAAAAACCGAAUAUAAUUUGGUGACCUCAGAAAAAUUAAGCUUU